UGUUUCCUGAACCCCGCACGUGCAUGCGCCUGCUUCGCCUCGUCAGUCUUGGAGGUCGAAGGUCAUCUCUGACACAUCAAAAGCCAGCUGCUCCUGCGCCGCGGAGUCGGCAAAAGCCCCUUGGGUCCCCGACUGGCCGCUGGCUUGCUUGAUCGCUUCCAGCGUGGAUAAUAUGAAGCGGGAUCGCUGCUCCUCCGAGGCGGGAUCAGCCCAGCGGUGGGUCGGCAGAGAGGGUGAGUGGAGGAUGAAGUACGCCGACGCCAUGUAGACUUUGAAGAACUCCUGUUUCACAGCGGCCGUGUCUCGCUGCGACGUGAGGGGACAACUCAGAUCAAGUAAGCUUACAGACCCUCCUGGUGGUUCAGUGCUGGGUCCUGGUGGCGACAGAUUCUGAGAGAGGUCGUCUAUCUGCUCCAGGAUGUUCUGCAGUCGUCCUUCCUCCUCCAGUUUCCUCUGCUCGUAGUUCCCCACUGGAGCAAGCUCGUCAGCCUGAGAGAAACAUGCAACGACAGCUACUAUUUGCGGUUUUCUUGCGUUCAAGAGCCGUAAUAUUGUAGCAACUUGGUUGUUAACGUUUUUGAGAGCAUCAAAGGGACAGCUUAGCUUGCCGUUGUUGUUUUGUUUUGACAGUAAAGCGAUAGUUGAUCCAGUACCGUCUUACGUUUGUUAGAAAUAUAUAUGUGUGUGUGUGUUAAAAAAAAUACACACAUUUGGGAUUUUUUUCCCCACACAUGCCAUGUUUUAUGUUAAUAGAAAUCACACCUAUUGAUUAUUAUUAGAGAUGUCCGAUAAUAGAUUUUUUGCCGAUAUCCGAUAUUCCGAUAUUGUCCAACUCUUAAUUACCGAUUCCGAUAUCAACCGAUACGAUAUAUACAGUCGUGGAAUUAACACUUUAUUAUGCCUAAUUUUGUUGUAAUGCCCCGCUGGAUGCAUUAAACAAUGUAACAAGGUUUUCCAAAGUAAAUCAACUCAAGUUAUGGAAAAAAAUGCCAACAUGGCACUGCCAUAUUUAUUAUUGAAGUCACAAAGUGUAUUAUUUUUUUUAACAUGCCUCAAAACAGCAGCU